rnacentral:rRNA from 1 species
UGGGCGCAAGCCUGAUCCAGCCAUGCCGCGUGAGUGAUGAAGGCCUUAGGGUUGUAAAGCUCUUUCGUCAGGGAAGAUAAUGACGGUACCUGAAGAAGAAGCCCCGGCUAACUUCGUGCCAGCAGCCGCGGUAAUACGGAGGGAGCUAGCGUUGUUCGGAAAUACUGGGCGUAAAGCGAACGUAGGCGGUCUAGUAAGUCAGGGGUGAAAUCCCGGAGCUCAACUCCGGAACUGCCCUUGAAACUACUAAACUAGAAUCCUGGAGAGGUCAGUGGAAUUACGAGUGUAGAGGUGAAAUUCGUAGAUAUUCGGAAGAACACCAGUGGCGAAGGCGACUGACUGGACAGGUAUUGACGCUGAGGUUCGAAAGCGUGGGGAGCAAACAGGAUUAGAUACCCUGGUAGUCCAUGCCGUAAACGUUGGGCACUAGGUGUGGGGUUCUAUCAACGGACUCCGUGCCGCAGCUAACGCAUUAAGUGCCCCGCCUGGGGAGUACGGCCGCAAGGCUAAAACUCAAAGGAAUUGACGG